rnacentral:rRNA from 1 species
GUGAGGAAUAUUGGACAAUGGGCGCAAGCCUGAUCCAGCCAUGCCGCGUGCAGGAAGACGCAUCUAUGGUGUGUAAACUGCUUUUGUACGGGAAGAAACACUCCCUCGUGAGGGAGCUUGACGGUACCGUAAGAAUAAGGAUCGGCUAACUCCGUGCCAGCAGCCGCGGUAAUACGGAGGAUCCAAGCGUUAUCCGGAAUCAUUGGGUUUAAAGGGUCCGUAGGCGGUUUAAUAAGUCAGUGGUGAAAGCCCAUCGCUCAACGAUGGAACGGCCAUUGAUACUGUUAGACUUGAAUUACAAGGAAGUAACUAGAAUAUGUAGUGUAGCGGUGAAAUACUUAGAUAUUACAUGGAAUACCAAUUGCGAAGGCAGGUUACUACUUGUGGAUUGACGCUGAUGGACGAAAGCGUGGGGAGCGAACAGGAUUAGAUACCCUAGUAGUCC